rnacentral:rRNA from 1 species
UACGUAGGGGGCUAGCGUUGUCCGGAUUUAUUGGGCGUAAAGAGCGUGUAGGCGGCCAGGUAGGUCCGUUGUGAAAACUCGAGGCUCAACCUCGAGACGUCGGCGGAAACCCUCUGGCUAGAGUACGGAAGAGGCGAGUGGAAUUCCUGGUGUAGCGGUGAAAUGCGCAGAUAUCAGGAGGAACACCAAUUGCGAAGGCAGCUCGCUGGGACGUUACUGACGCUGAGACGCGAAAGCGUGGGGAGCAAACAGG